UCCUACGGGAGGCAGCAGUGGGGAAUAUUGGACAAUGGGCGAAAGCCUGAUCCAGCCACGCCGCGUGUGUGAAGAAGGCCUUCGGGUUGUAAAGCACUUUCAGUGAGGAAGAAAGCCUUGAGGUUAAUACCCUCGAGGGAGGACAUCACUCACAGAAGAAGCACCGGCUAACUCCGUGCCAGCAGCCGCGGUAAUACGGAGGGUGCGAGCGUUAAUCGGAAUUACUGGGCGUAAAGCGCGCGUAGGCGGCUUGAUAAGCCGGUUGUGAAAGCCCCGGGCUCAACCUGGGAACGGCAUCCGGAACUGUCAGGCUAGAGUGCAGGAGAGGAAGGUAGAAUUCCCGGUGUAGCGGUGAAAUGCGUAGAGAUCGGGAGGAAUACCAGUGGCGAAGGCGGCCUUCUGGACUGACACUGACGCUGAGGUGCGAAAGCGUGGGUAGCAAACAGGAUUAGAUACCCUGGUAGUCCACGCCGUAAACGAUGUCGACUAGCCGUUGGGCUCCUUGAGAGCUUUGUGGCGCAGUUAACGCGAUAAGUCGACCGCCUGGGGAGUACGGCCGCAAGGUUAAAACUCAAAUGAAUUGACGG
rnacentral:rRNA from 1 species